AUGGAACAAUUCAACCUGGAAGAGGAAGAUUUUGAUGAUCUGGUGAUAGAUGAGGCUGAUCCGGAGAUCAAUGACAGCGUGAGAUGGCUCGCGCUGGCUAGGGUUCAUACCGAUAAAUCCUUCAGCCAAGCGGCCUUCUACAAGGAUAUGCGUGCGGCUUGGAACCCUGCGCAGCCGGUAAGGUUUCGCCCGGUUGGUCCGAAGCUUUUUGUUGUGCAAGCAUCAUGUUUGGGAGAUUGGGAACGCAUGAUGUAUCAAGGGCCUUGGCUCUUCAGGAAUUUGAUUGUGUUGAUGGUUCCAUAUGAUGGGUUCACAAAGGCAGAGGAGGUGCCCAUGGUGUUUAUGCCAAUUUGGCUACAGAUUCACAAGAUUCCAGAGGGUUUCUGCAGGAAGAACAUUGUGGAAAAUCUGCUAAAAAACUCAGGUGAGAUCUUGGAGAUGAGGCUAACCGGAAAUACCCGUGGUGACUACAUUAGGGUUAGGGUUCGGCAUGAUGUUCGUCGGCCUCUCACCAAGUAUGUCAGUAUUGUAAGGGGGAAAGAGCGCCAAGUCUGUUUGGUGCGCUAUGAGAAAUUGGCGCGCUUCUGCAGUGUAUGUGGGCUUGGUCAUGACUGCAAAGAGUGCGGAUCAGGUGUGCAUGAGGAGAAGGACAAGAAGUAUGGCUCUUGGCUCUAUGCGGAUGGUUUGAAUAAACCCCCGUCCAAUGAUAGUUUUGGCUGGGGAAGGAGUCAGAAGCAACCUACACCUCAGUCUCAACAGCAGAAGUCGCCUGGAAAGGCAGUGGUCGAUCGAUCCGGACAUCCUAGAUACGGCUACAAGCCCAGCCAAGGAAGGACACAUAUCCAAGCAUUGAGACCCGGCAGCUCGCAAAAGACUCUCCAUGGAUGA
rnacentral:rRNA from 1 species